GGGGUAAAUUCAAAAUACCAAUUCAAAUGGCCUUUCCCAAAAAGAAAUAAAAGACAUUGAAGUCAAUGGCCUAUCCUUUCAUGUUCUAGCCGUCUUCUUUCUCAAGUUCCCCUGCGUCACACAGUCACCUCCAUGUCCUCCAUCUUCUUCCCAUCUAACCUUCUGUAAAGCCAUGUCCAAAGUCUUGGUGGGGAGUUAGAUCUGUUUUUCAUACUGUACCCGCGUCAUGUCACUUGGACACGAGUAUUUGGAGGUAAAUUGAAGAAGGGACAGAGCAUCAGAGGCACUAUCACCAUUGAUUUUCCUCAGAAAAAUUAAUCUCUUUGCCUCAAUAAAGUCCUCACUGUUAACCUUCCUCUGUACUCACUAGUAGAGGCAGCUCUCCGUGUCGCUUAUGAACAUGUCUUCACCAUGCAAGUAGAUGAUUAUAUUGACAUGGCAAUUCAGUUUUUGAGACCGAUCAUGCCUAUUGUCAAUAACUUACAAUUGUGUGAUUCUACUAUGAGACAUCCCUUUACAGACGCUAGCAGACACAGUUCUUAAGAAGUUGCCUGCCUUUCUUUGGCAAUCUUCCUGAUUUUCAGAAUUUGACUCGUUUGGAGAUUGAAGGUAGUGGAAAUGAUCGUUGGUUGGUCUUGCAUGAGAUAUUCAAAUGCUCUCCUGAGGUGGAAGUCUUCAUCUUAUACAAGGACAUGGUCAGUUCCUUUAAGAUUCAUAUGUUGUCUGCAAGUAGGAUCGGAAUUGUUCUUCUUACUGACUUUUAAUAAUUCAGAUGGAGAAAACUGCCGAAUCAUUGAGGAGCAUAAUUCAAUAUGCUAUAACAUAAAUCAAGUAACUCUACAUCAUUAUAAUGAUAAAAGGAGCAUAAUUCAGUAUGCUUAUUGUUUUUGUUUUUCAGGUCAUAGGCUUUAUUUUCCAUUGAAAAAUAAUAUGUAAAUGACAAGUUUAUGGUUUACAAUAGCAGAAGACAUUCAUUUUUACAAUGAAAAACCAUAAUGUAUGUAUAAUGUUCGAAAUAUAAG